CAAGCACUAAGUGGUUAGUGACCCAGUCCUCCGAACGUCUCAAACGCCACAGGUUGGAAGAGAUAGUUCACUGUCAGGUCCCGAUACUUCAGGGUUUUCUUCCGUUCGGCUACGGAAGCAGUGACCCUCCCAUUAACUGCAGCAUCUAGGAUGUGGGAGGGAGCAAAGGAGUGGCAGACUGUGGUGUCUCAAAUGAGGCACCUACCUCUAAACCAGGGACAGAGGGUAAGACCAUCUGGUCUCUUUCCAUCACUUCUGGAUAACCCCGACGACUCCAGAACUG